rnacentral:rRNA from 8 species
CAGACCUCUGAUCAGGAAAGACUACCC